rnacentral:rRNA from 1 species
GAAUUUUGGACAAUGGGCGAAAGCCUGAUCCAGCAAUGCCGCGUGUGUGAAGAAGGCCUUCGGGUUGUAAAGCACUUUUGUCCGGAAAGAAAUCCUUGGCUCUAAUACAGUCGGGGGAUGACGGUACCGGAAGAAUAAGCACCGGCUAACUACGUGCCAGCAGCCGCGGUAAUACGUAGGGUGCGAGCGUUAAUCGGAAUUACUGGGCGUAAAGCGUGCGCAGGCGGUUUGCUAAGACCGAUGUGAAAUCCCCGGGCUCAACCUGGGAACUGCAUUGGUGACUGGCAGGCUAGAGUAUGGCAGAGGGGGGUAGAAUUCCACGUGUAGCAGUGAAAUGCGUAGAGAGGUGGAGGAAUACCGAUGGCGAAGGCAGCCCCCUGGGCCAAUACUGACGCUCAUGCACGAAAGCGUGGGGAGCAAACAGGAUUAGAUACCCUGGUAGUCCACGCCCUAAACGAUGUCAACUAGUUGUUGGGGAUUCAUUUCCUUAGUAACGUAGCUAACGCGUGAAGUUGACCGCCUGGGGAGUACGGUCGCAAGAUUAAAACUCAAAGGAAUUGACGGGGACCCGCACAAGCGGUGGAUGAUGUGGAUUAAUUCGAUGCAACGCGAAAAACCUUACCUACCCUUGACAUGGUCGGAAUCCCGCCGAGAGGUGGGAGUGCUCGAAAGAGAACCGGCGCACAGGUGCUGCAUGGCUGUCGUCAGCUCGUGUCGUGAGAUGUUGGGUUAAGUCCCGCAACGAGCGCAACCCUUGUCCUUAGUUGCUACGCAAGAGCACUCUAAGGAGACUGCCGGUGACAAACCGGAGGAAGGUGGGGAUGACGUCAAGUCCUCAUGGCCCUUAUGGGUAGGGCUUCACACGUCAUACAAUGGUCGGAACAGAGGGUUGCCAACCCGCGAGGGGGAGCUAAUCCCAGAAAACCGAUCGUAGUCCGGAUUGCACUCUGCAACUCGAGUGCAUGAAGCUGGAAUCGCUAGUAAUCGCGGAUCAGCAUGCCGCGGUAGAACGUUCCCGGGCCUUGUACACACC